AGUGAACGCUGGCGGUAGGCCUAACACAUGCAAGUCGAACGGCAGCACAGUAGGAGCUUGCUCUUACGGGUGGCGAGUGGCGGACGGGUGAGGAAUACAUCGGAAUCUACUUUUUCGUGGGGGAUAACGUAGGGAAACUUACGCUAAUACCGCAUACGACCUACGGGUGAAAGCAGGGGAUCUUCGGACCUUGCGCGAUUGAAUGAGCCGAUGUCGGAUUAGCUAGUUGGCGGGGUAAAGGCCCACCAAGGCGACGAUCCGUAGCUGGUCUGAGAGGAUGAUCAGUCACACUGGAACUGAGACACGGUCCAGACUCCUACGGGAGGCAGCAGUGGGGAAUAUUGGACAAUGGGCGCAAGCCUGAUCCAGCCAUACCGCGUGGGUGAAGAAGGCCUUCGGGUUGUAAAGCCCUUUUGUUGGGAAAGAAAAGCAGCAGGUUAAUACCCCGCUGUUCUGACGGUACCCAAAGAAUAAGCACCGGCUAACUUCGUG
rnacentral:rRNA from 1 species